rnacentral:rRNA from 1 species
GAUGAACGCUAGCGAUAGGCUUAACACAUGCAAGUCGAGGGGCAGCAUGGUCUUAGCUUGCUAAGACUGAUGGCGACCGGCGCACGGGUGCGUAACGCGUAUGCAACUUGCCUCACAGAGGGGGAUAACCCGUCGAAAGACGGACUAAUACCGCGUACACUUGGGAUAGGGCAUCCUGACCCAAGGCAAUGAAAUUCGCUGUGAGAUAGGCAUGCGUCCCAUUAGCUAGUUGGUGAGGUAACGGCUCACCAAGGCGACGAUGGGUAUGGGAACUGAGAGGUUGAACCCCCAGACUGGGACUGGGACACGGACCAGACACCUACGGGAGGCAGCAGUGAGGAAGAUUGGUCAAUGGGAGAGAGCCUGAACCAGCCAAGUCGGGUGAAGGAGGACUGUGUUAGGGAUUGUAAACUUCUUGUAUACGGGAAUAACAAGAGCCACGUGUGGCUCCCUGCAGGUACCGUAUGAAUAAGCAUCGGCUAACUCCGUG